AUCCUUUUGUAGUUCAUGAGCAUGACAAUUGGGUGUUCAUGCAGAGAUAUGAAAUGUGCCAGUCUUGAACCUUGUCAGCACAUUACUUGUCUGACC
ensembl:snoRNA